rnacentral:rRNA from 1 species
AUGUUUUCUCUAGUUGUCAAUUUCAUAUCUUCCAAAUCAAUUGAGCUGGUUCUUGCAAUUUUAAAUGUAAAUAAAAUAUGCGCUCCCUACAUUGCCAUUGUGUGCAAACUGUUUGAAAACGUUACACUUUUAAAAGGAGGAUGCACCGAUGUUUCCUCCUUUAUUAUCUCCCCUUCAUCUGCUUAUCCAGUGGUAGUUGGUUCAGUGUUCCCUAAUUGGUCUGGCACAUUUACUUUCUUUCUAGUUCUUAUUCACAUUCAGUGUCAUACCAUGGCCCUAUCUUUGGUUCUACCUAUUUGA